UAAAAUAGUAACUAUAAGAUAUUAGUUAAAAUUUAUUCAGUCUAAUUAAUAUAUUAAACUAUAUUUUUAUUGCUCAUCUCCCAAACAUAAGACUUUUGCAAAAUAUUAAAAAAAACCAUCCCAGAUGAAUUUUGAAGUUCCCUAGAGUUUAAAAUUUGAAAUUAUGUAAAAUAAAUAAAGACAUUAAAUGUUUGUCUAAAAUUCUAUGGAAAAACUGUGAAACAAAUAGGUCUUGGGAAAAUGGAGUGCUAAAUUGAAAAAUAACCAAAAUUGAAAAAGUCUGGUUUAUCGAUUUUGCGCCUGUAAUUAAACUGUAUUUACCAUUUUUAUGCACUUAUCUACAUAUUUCCACCCAGUUUAUUUUCUUCCACAAGACCUUUAUUUCGCUUUCUAAGAGAAAUUUUUGUGGGCAUUUAUAAGCAAAAACUGCUACCUUAUUUCCAUGGCAAAGUCUUCCAGAAUAUGAUAUCUAUUGGCAAAGCUAAAACCAAGUAUGUUUGAAUGGUUUGGUUUCUAAAGAAUCUAAAUUUUUUAAAUGGAUAUCAAAGAGGCGAAUCAGGUUGAAGUUAAGUUGUCCAUCAGUAUCAGAAUCAUAUUCCUAAGCUUUGUUCUCACGUAUCUCUAUAAGCUUUACUAAAGAAAGGAUUUAUAUAUAUAUAUAUAUAUAUAUAGGUCAUUGGCAGACACUAAUCUACUUCCAAGCUUCAAAGAUGCCCCAUAUCAGAAGCAAAACAAGACCAUCAACCACCAAGUUCUUUCCACCUUCCUCUCCCUCUCUCAAAAUUUUCACUUUGUCUCUCUAUCUAACUGUUCUAAACUAUAGGGUACCCUGACCGAGGAUGUCGGGACAGGGAAGAAAUGGUUCAGGGCGCUACAAAGAAAUGAGUAGAUAGAAGUUUUAUUGAAGGAUGCCUUUUUGCCGUGUGUUGCUGUUGGCUUUGUGAGGCAUGUUGCUGAUUCUCCUGGAUGAUUGUCCCAUUCAUUCAAUAUCAAUAACACAGAUCUAGUGUAUUGUAUAAAUCAACUUUAUCUAUGAGAUAGAGAGUAGAGACUUUUGCUUGUACUUGCCUAUGUUUUUCUUGAGCAUAUACAAGUUUUAGAUUUGAUUCUAACCAAAUCCUUAUUCCUUUGUACCAAAAAGGUCCAUCUUCCUAACACAUGGUAGAUAAGGAAAAUAUAUUUAACUCAAACUCCAAAAGAUUAAUUAACAUAGAUUGUAAUUGUAAAGUUUUUGGUCACUGUUAUAUUUGAACUCACCUUCCUUGGCUUGUGAAAUCUGCUUAUUCUUCUUCCAAUGCACUGGGUAAUCAGUCUGGCUCCUAAAUUAUACAGGGUCUUCACUUCAACUCUGAUUGUAAAUUAUAUCUUUUGGUCCUCCCUCCUUCAGUCCAAGAAAAAUCACUCCUAAAAUAAUCCAAAACUAAAAUAAUAUCAUCUAACAAAGAAAAUGAUGAAUAAUUUAUAUAAACAGAGUGAAGGAAAAUAGACAUCCAAGGAAUUUUCAAGUUAGUCAGAUACUUACAGCCAUUAAGCCAUAUUCUCAAAGACCUGUUACAUCGAUGCUGUUACCAGAGUCAAAACAGAGAUUGAGUAAUUUGAAAGGCCAUUGUGAUUUUGUGAUAAAUAGUGUAUUGAAAUUCAAUCGUACUACAAAAUUAUUCAUAGACCACAUUUCUUGAAUUUUCUUCCUCCUUGCCAUGUAGAAAAACACAGCCAAUUGAAAGCAGGAAACUCAAAUGCCUCAAUAUCAAUGUGAAUUAUCUUAAUGAGUUACAUGUGAUGCAAAGUACGUACCUUUUCCAAGAGUACUUUCCAGAGUUCUUUUAAGUUCUAUAAAAAUUUUGAAAAAUGCUCAUAAUAAGCUAAAAGGAAAAAAUUUUACCCACAACACAGGAUCGAUUCUAAAAGUUGUACUACCUUUUGAAAAAUCAUAUCAAAUGCACCCUAAAUAAAACUGAAGAGUGAAUAGACGCAAGGUCCAUCCAUAAUAUCUACUUGAAUUAUAUGACACAAACAAGAUCAUUUCAAUGAGGGGUAAAAUUACAAGCCAAGUUUAAUAAGAAACACAACCCUAAAGACCAGACCUAUACGGUACUACAAUAAUCUUCAUAUCUAAAAUCUCUAACAGUCAAAGCAAGUGCAAUGAUCCAAUAUCAUAAGAUGUUGAAUAAGCUAUUAACUACAACCAUACUGGAGAACACAAGAGCCCACUUUCAAGACAAUUAAACAUUUAAACCAGUUGGUAAGGGUUAAGUAAACAAGCAUCAGACAUCGGUAGCUUAUCAUAAAUAACAUUCCCUUUAGUUUACAAGCAACACUAGAAGUUACCAAUACAAGCUACACAACACAGCACAAUCAGAAUGUACAAAUAUUUUAUGUUUAGUCAUGGCUCCUGUUAAUUCCUCAUAAGCCUUGGAGUUGCCUAAGAUCAAAUA